rnacentral:rRNA from 1 species
GGUAUACGCACACAUGACAAUCGAGCUGAGUAACGAGUUAUCUGAACCUUCGGGGGACGAUAACGGCGUCGAGCGGCGGACGGGUGAGUAAUGCCUAGGAAAUUGCCCUGAUGUGGGGGAUAACCAUUGGAAACGAUGGCUAAUACCGCAUGAUGCCUACGGGCCAAAGAGGGGGACCUUCGGGCCUCUCGCGUCAGGAUAUGCCUAGGUGGGAUUAGCUAGUUGGUGAGGUAAGGGCUCACCAAGGCGACGAUCCCUAGCUGGUCUGAGAGGAUGAUCAGCCACACUGGAACUGAGACACGGUCCAGACUCCUACGGGAGGCAGCAGUGGGGAAUAUUGCACAAUGGGCGCAAGCCUGAUGCAGCCAUGCCGCGUGUGUGAAGAAGGCCUUCGGGUUGUAAAGCACUUUCAGUCGUGAGGAAGGUAGUGUAGUUAAUAGCUGCAUUAUUUGACGUUAGCGACAGAAGAAGCACCGGCUAACUCCGUGCCAGCAGCCGCGGUAAUACGGAGGGUGCGAGCGUUAAUCGGAAUUACUGGGCGUAAAGCGCAUGCAGGUGGUUUGUUAAGUCAGAUGUGAAAAGCCCGGGGCUCAACCUCGGAAUAUCUUUUUGAAACUGGCAGACUAGAGUACUGUUGAGGGGGGGGUAGAAUUUUCAGGUGUAGCGGUGAA